CUCCUGAUAGACUGUAUAGUCCUCCUCUUGGUUAGUUUAGUGACUCCUGAUAGACUGUAUAGUCCUCCUCUUGGUUAGUGACUCCUGAUAGACUGUAUAGUCCUCCUCUUGGUUAGUGACUCCUGAUAGACUGUAUAGUCCUCCUCUUGGUUAGUGACUCCUGAUAGACAGUAUAGUCCUCCUCUUGGUUAGUUUAGUGACUCCUGAUAGACUGUAUAGUCCUCCUCUUGGUUAGUGACUCCUGAUAGACUGUAUAGUCCUCCUCUUGGUUAGUGACUCCUGAUAGACUGUAUAGCCCUCCUCUUGGUUAGUGACUCCUGAUAGACUGUAUAGUCCUCCUCUUGGUUAGUGACUCCUGAUAGACUGUAUAGUCCUCCUCUUGGUUAGUGACUCCUGAUAGACUGUAUAGUCCUCCUCUUGGUUAGUGACUCCUGAUAGACUGUAUAGUCCUCCUCUUGGUUAUUAGUGACUCCUGAUAGACUGUAUAGUCCUCCUCUUGGUUAG
rnacentral:lncRNA from 1 species